CCAGACGUACAUGUUGGCAGUGAACAGUCUCCUCAAGAAGAUACCAGAACAGAUGUAUUUAGAAAAAUAAAAUCUUCAGACAAAUCUACUUCUAGAUACCAAAUUCAUGAUGACAGGUAAAAACUUUUGGUCUUUACCCUGAUAAUAAAGUAUUAUCAAUUUUAUAGUCACCAUAUUGUUUUAAAUAUGAUAGAAAAUCAAGGACAUAAUAUACAUGUAUUAGUAAAUUUGGACUUGUUUGUUAAAAGAAUUGCAUAGGAACCUAUCAAUGGUUAUGAAAUGUAUACAUAUAGAGAGUACCUUAAACAAUCAAUAACUAAAAGAUUAAACCAGGUGCUUUAAAUGCAUUGUGUUAAUUAAAAUACUAUACAGAAAUGACAAUUUAGUCGAAACAUCUCUCAUAAUUAGCAGAAAAACUUGAAAACUAAUACUUGAGAUUUAAAAUCUUGUUUAAAAAAAUGUAGUUAUGUCAGGAGUUCUUGAAAAGUUCUUUUUACAGCUCAGCUUACAGGAUUGGUAAUUAAAUACAUAAAAGUCACAUAAAAAAGGAGACUGCACAGCAGACCACCAAUAAGCAACAAAUCGAGAAAAAAGCAAACUACUGAGAACAACAUACAAUCUAAAUAUCCAAAUGAAAGCAAAAGACAAUUGAUAUAUGUAUGAAAUAUGUAGAAUUUCAUUCUUUAAUAUUACUCAAUACCUGUAUUUUUAUCUCUAUCAGUUGUCUCAGUUUCAGUACUUUCUCUUCUAUAUCCAACAGAUAUUACCUAUUUCUAAGCACCGUAUGACUGAGUUUUGUCUCUUUUCAACUAAGUUAAAAAUUUAACCAUUUGUAAUAGUUUAGAAAAUCUAUGUCUUCUAUAUAGCAGUACUAGUUAUGCAUUAAGGAUUGAAAUUCACUUAUUUAAUUUAUGAUAUAUUGCUUAGUUCUUGGAUUUAAUGUAUUGAAUUUCAGUGAUGAAGAAAUAUCCUUUAAGACAGCUGAAGGCAAAGAAGAAAAAGGAAAUGACAAGAAUUUGGAUGAAGAGAAAGAAGAUACUCCUCCAAAAUUAAAAAUGAUCCGUACAAUAUCAAGUGAAGUGACUUCCACAGGAUAUCAAGGCAGCAUUGAAAGUUUGCAAUCCUCUACCCAUCUGCGAGACACGUCAGCACAGCCUGGGGACACUACUUCUCAGUCUGGAGACACUACUGCUCAGUUUGGAGACACUACUGCUCAGCCAGGAGACACUAAUGAUAGUACAAGAGACACUACUGCUCAGCCAGGAGACACUAACGAUAGUACAAGAGACACUACCGUCCAGCAAGGAGACACUACCGUCCAGCAAGGAGACACUAUUGUUCAGCAUGAGGAAAAUAUAUCAACAUAUUCAGUCCACACUAAUCUUCAUCCAGCAGGAGAUGCUUCAAGUCAUCCAAAUGAUUCCAUGCAAGAUAUAGACAAAACUCAGUCAUAUGAUACUGAAAAAUAUGUAAACAUUGCUGUUAAAACCAAGGAUAAAACCGAAAUUUUGACGACCGAAAAAGAUGGAUAUGCAUGCAAUGAGUCUACUGUUCACAAAGAUGAGAUUGCUGAUGUUGAUAAUAAAAAUCUACAAAAUGAAGAUGUCUCCAGAAAGAGUCCCCAAGUUUCACCACAAAAGACACCAUCUCAGAGCUCUAGCACACAAGAAGGACAAUUGAAAAAUGUAAAAAAGAAUUCCAAAACUGUUACAGUGAAAACAGCCAAAAGUUUUAAAGAAAUAAAUCCAAAUGUUAGAAAUAAUGGCAGUGGAAGAGAGACAUGCAACAAAGAACCUGAAAUUUCAACUGGAGCACAACAUGAUCCAUAUGAAUUCCAUGGUAGUCAGUCCCAAAUCACAGAAGAUAUUGAAAUAAAGAAGCCUGAUGAGAGCAAAGUAAACCCAGUGGUAAAUAACUCAUUAUUUGCAGUGUAAUUGUAUACUGUAAAUUCAGAAAUUUUUGCAAGGUUUUUAUUAAUGCCAUGAUACCGCUUGUUGAGUAUUGCAAUAAUACAAAAUUGCAUUCUGAUGUCUUAUAUAUAUAAAUGUAUUCAAAUUUUCAUGGAAUUGCAAUAAUAAAUCUUUCAUUACCAAGAUUAUUAUUCAUUAUACCCCCGCUUUAAAAAAGGGGGGUAUACUGUUUUACCUCUGUCUGUCCGUUAGUCCGUCCGUCCGUCCGUCAGUCAGUCCGUCCAUGAAAAUUUCGUCACAUUUUUCUCAGGAACUACACAUCCACCCUUUCUGUAAUUUUGUAUCAACAUUUAUAUAUGUCAGCCAUACCGUGUGAUGCUGUUUAGAUUCAUCACUUGACAACUUCCUGUUUACCGAACACUUGUCUGAUUUUACACAUGAUAGCCAAGUUGAAAAUUUUCGUCAAUUUUUCCAGAACUACAAUACAAGGAUUUCUGAAAUUUGGUUUCAGGAUUUAUAUAAGUCAGCUAUACCGUGUGAUGCGUUUUCAGAUUCAUCACUCGACAACUUCCUGUUUACCGAACACUUGCAUAUUUUUACACUAUUAAUAUUAUCCACUUGCGGCUGGGGUAUCAUCAGUGAGUAGUAGCUCGCAGUUUCACUUGUUUUUCAAAAAUUGCUAUAAUAGCUGCACACAAUAAUUUCAAUUUACAGUACUACAUUACACAAAAAAAACAUUCAGAACAUGCACAAUAAAAAAAACUCAUGUAGACAUUGUUGUAGAUUAAUGUACCAUAGGACUAUUAGUGAUCAUGAAUAACCAUUGACACACAAAAUGACACUCAGAGACUAUGAAAUUAUUUUUUUCUAAGAUAUAUGCAAUUGUAAGAUAGGUAUUAACAUGAUUAAAGAAUUAAGUUUUAUGAAAAAUGUAUCAAACAAUGAAAUGUUUCACAAGUGGUAACUUUUUUUACACACAUCAAAUUGGAGUAAUCAAUUUAUUUUAUAGGAAUACUAUAGAACCAGAAGGAUUCCUACGCAGCAUGUUGAAACUCCACCUUCAUCUAGAAAAAGGAAAAGGAAAGUCCAUAAAAAGACAGGUCUGAAAACAAAACCUGCAAGAAAGGCUUCAACAGAACAUCAUGUCUGUUUCAGCAGUCCUGUAACUGAAAGUCAGACCACUCCACCAUCACAAUCAAUAAGUGCCAAAAACCUGUCCUCUUUAUCAGAAAAAUGCGAAUCUUCUAAAUAUAGAGCAGAUUUAGGAAGUAUUCCAACCAGGAUUGGUCAACAAAUAUCAUCAAUAUAUUCACCGCCGAGGGACAGGAUUGAAGAAGAUUUUCAGAAUCCUAAUACACCUGUAACUUUGUUGAGAGAACCUAUAGUAGCAGAUCAACAACAACAGACACCAACAACAUCCACAGAAAUGGGCCCUCCAACAUCAGUUCCCUUGUCUGCUAGGAAUCCUAUCACAUUGACAGUUGUAUCGGCACUUUCAACCGUCACAACACCAUCAACAUCAGCUGGUAUGCUGACUAGAACAGAAACUCUAGUGUUGCCUGAAAGUGGUUCCCAAUUAGAACCUGUUCAGG
rnacentral:lncRNA from 1 species